UCUCACUGGGAGGUAGGGCUUGAACUUUCCGCUUUUUGGCAGCGAGAGCUUCAUAUUGGUGUUCGAGGUGCUCAAACUGUUGGUAUGGCUGGCGUCCAAAGGCGUCCUCUUCGGUGAAUGCCAGAGGAUCCAUUUCAGCUCCGAAUUGAAAUUUAUACUCUCCGCUUCCAUCAUCUUCUUCUUCGUCUACGUCUUCGUCUUCAUCAUCAGCCUCUUUACUGUUGUUAUCUCCGUCGUUGUCCCCUUCCCCUCCCUCUUCUCCG
rnacentral:misc_RNA from 1 species